ACCCCCGUAGCUCAGAGGAAAGAGCUCUGGCCUCCGGAGCCAGGUGCGCGGGUUCGAAUCCCGCCGGGGGUACCA
rnacentral:tRNA from 1 species